rnacentral:tRNA from 1 species
UGCGGGGCGGGGGCCGCGCCCCAGGCCGGCUGAGGGUCGGCCGGUGGGCGGACCGACGCCGCUCCCCGGGCC